AUCCGGCGAAGAAGCUGGAGAACAUGUUGUACCUGACAACUCUUAUAAAACUGGGAGAGACGGGAAAAAAAGAAAACUAUCAGCAGCUCUGGAGGUAUUUGCCUCAGUCAUAUCUGCCAGAGAAUACUUGGAGUCCACCUGUCCCAUGGUAAUCAGGUGAAAGACAGGAAACACCCUGCACUGGUCUUUAGACGUUUUACAGGCCAAACACAGACACAAACACACAUUUUACUAGUUACAUACGUUUAAAAACAAAGAAGGAAAACACAGCUACGUGUCUGGAUUUGUGUUGCAAAUAUUUCAGUCCAAAAUGCUGAAAAAAGUCAUACAAAUGUAGUUGUAUUAAAUCAUUUUAUUACAGUUGUCCACAUUUAAAAAGG